rnacentral:rRNA from 1 species
GGCUCAGGAUGAACGCUGGCGGCGUGCCUAAUACAUGCAAGUCGAACGAGUUCUCGUUGAUGAUCGGUGCUUGCACCGAGAUUCAACAUGGAACGAGUGGCGGACGGGUGAGUAACACGUGGGUAACCUGCCCUUAAGUGGGGGAUAACAUUUGGAAACAGAUGCUAAUACCGCAUAGAUCCAAGAACCGCAUGGUUCUUGGCUGAAAGAUGGCGUAAGCUAUCGCUUUUGGAUGGACCCGCGGCGUAUUAGCUAGUUGGUGAGGUAAUGGCUCACCAAGGCGAUGAUACGUAGCCGAACUGAGAGGUUGAUCGGCCACAUUGGGACUGAGACACGGCCCAAACUCCUACGGGAGGCAGCAGUAGGGAAUCUUCCACAAUGGACGCAAGUCUGAUGGAGCAACGCCGCGUGAGUGAAGAAGGCUUUCGGGUCGUAAAACUCUGUUGUUGGAGAAGAAUGGUCGGCAGAGUAACUGUUGUCGGCGUGACGGUAUCCAACCAGAAAGCCACGGCUAACUACGUGCCAGCAGCCGCGGUAAUACGUAGGUGGCAAGCGUUAUCCGGAUUUAUUGGGCGUAAAGCGAGCGCAGGCGGUUUUUUAAGUCUGAUGUGAAAGCCCUCGGCUUAACCGAGGAAGCGCAUCGGAAACUGGGAAACUUGAGUGCAGAAGAGGACAGUGGAACUCCAUGUGUAGCGGUGAAAUGCGUAGAUAUAUGGAAGAACACCAGUGGCGAAGGCGGCUGUCUGGUCUGUAACUGACGCUGAGGCUCGAAAGCAUGGGUAGCGAACAGGAUUAGAUAC